CAAGUCGAACGGGGAUCAUCAGUGUAGCAAUACAUCGGUGGUCCUAGUGGCGCACGGGUGAGUAACACGUGGGUAACCUGCCCUUGAGUUCGGGAUACCCCCUCGAAAGGGGGGCUAAUACCGGAUACGUUCCUCGGAUCGACAGGUCUGGGGAGGAAAGGUGGCGCAAGCUGCCGCUCUUGGAGGGGCUCGCGGCCUAUCAGCUAGUUGGCGGGGUAACGGCCCACCAAGGCUAUGACGGGUAGCUGGUCUGAGAGGACGACCAGCCACACGGGGACUGAGACACGGCCCCGACUCCUACGGGAGGCAGCAGUGGGGAAUUUUCCGCAAUGGGCGAAAGCCUGACGGAGUGACGCCGCGUGUGGGACGAAGGCCUUCGGGUCGUAAACCACUGUCAGUGGGAAAGAUGGGUGUCGACGCGAUAACCGUCGGCAUCUGACGGUACCUGCAGAGGAAGCCCCGGCCAACUCUGUGCCAGCAGCCGCGGUAAGACAGAGGGGGCAAGCGUUGCUCGGAAUUACUGGGCGUAAAGGGCGCGUAGGCGGGAUGGCAAGUCGGUCGUGAAAUCCUUCGGCUCAACCGAAGAACGUCGAUCGAUACUGCUGUUCUUGAGGAUUGCAGAGGAGACUGGAAUUCCCGGUGUAGCGGUGAAAUGUGUAGAGAUCGGGAGGAACACCGGUGGCGAAGGCGGGUCUCUGGGCAAUUCCUGACGCUGAGGCGCGAAAGCGUGGGGAGCAAACGGGAUUAGAUACCCCGGUAGUCCACGCUGUAAACGAUGACGACUAGGUGUGGGGGGGG
rnacentral:rRNA from 1 species